CCUACGGGUGGCAGCAGUGGGGAAUAUUGGGCAAUGGGCGCAAGCCUUACCCAGCAAUACCGCGUGAGUGAAGAAGGUCUUCGGAUUGUAAAGCUCUUUGAUCAGGGACGAACAGAUGACGGUACCUGACGAACAAGCCCCGGCUAACUACGUGCCAGCAGCCGCGGUAAAACGUAGGGGGCGAGCGUUGUCCGGAAUGACUGGGCGUAAAGGGUGUGUAGGGGGCGUAAAAAGUUAGAAGUGGAAUGCCUAGGGCUUAACCCUGGUACUGCAUCUAAGACUGUUGGGCUUGAGUGCAGGAGAGGUUGAUGGAAUUCCUAGUGUAGCGGUGGAAUGCGUAGAUAUUAGGAGGAACACCAGAGGCGAAGGCGAUUAUCUGGACCGUAACUGACGCUGAGGCACGAAAGUGUGGGUAGCAAACAGGAUUAGAUACCCUUGUAGUC
rnacentral:rRNA from 1 species